UACGUAGGGGGCAAGCGUUGUCCGGAAUCAUUGGGCGUAAAGCGCGUGUAGGCGGCUCGGUAAGUCCGCUCUGAAAGUCCGGGGCUCAACCCCGGGAGGCGGGUGGAUACUGUCGAGCUCGAGUCCGGAAGAGGCGAGUGGAAUUCCUGGUGUAGCGGUGAAAUGCGCAGAUAUCAGGAGGAACACCGAUGGCGAAGGCAGCUCGCUGGGACGGUACUGACGCUGAGACGCGAAAGCGUGGGGAGCAAACAGG
rnacentral:rRNA from 1 species